GAAAGAAUGCUCUAAGCAAAGAAAAUAGGCGAUUCGAAGGGCACUGCUUGGAAUGUGUCUGCCUUGUUCAAGAAACAUCAAGAAGGCCAAUGUGGCAAUGGUUGCAAGGGAGCAGACUUGACAGAGAUGUCAAAUUUUGACAUGAAUAUUUGACUAGGGUUGGAAGAGCAAGGCUAUGGGAGUCUUUUCUAUGUAUACUUACUACAGACCAGAUAUUUUGAUAUGUCAUUGAAUAAAGAAGCAUGUACACUGGAAAAAAAAAAAAGGCUUGGAGAAAAUUAAAGACAUCAUUUAUGCUUCGUAGAACAAACCAGAAUUACGGGAUCUGAGAUUUGAUAAAUGAGAUGGGAGGGAAUAAGGAACACGAUUGGAUAUCUAAUGGAGAUAGAAGAGCAGGACACUGGUGGAAAAAGUCUUAGAAACAAGUUGUUGAAUAAAUAUGCAGGAAUAAACAAAUGAAUGAGAUUUCCUCAAGUAAACGAGUUUUAAAAACUAUAAAGAGAC
rnacentral:lncRNA from 10 species